AGUGAACGCUGGCGGUAGGCCUAACACAUGCAAGUCGAACGGCAGCACAGUAAGAUCUUGCUCUUACGGGUGGCGAGUGGCGGACGGGUGAGGAAUACAUCGGAAUCUACUUUUUCGUGGGGGAUAACGGAGGGAAACUUACGCUAAUACCUCAUACGACCUACGGGUGAAAGCAGUGGAGCUUCGGACCUUGCGCGAUUGAAUGAGCCGGUGUCGGAUUAGCUAGUUGGCGGGGUAAAGGCCCACCAAGGCGACGAUCCGUAGCUGGUCUGAGAGGAUGAUCAGCCACACUGGAACUGAGACACGGUCCAGACUCCUACGGGAGGCAGCAGUGGGGAAUAUUGGACAAUGGGCGCAAGCCUGAUCCAGCCAUACCGCGUGGGUGAAGAAGGCCUUCGGGUUGUAAAGCCCUUUUGUUGGGAAAGAAAAGCAGCAGGUUAAUACCCCGCUGUUCUGACGGUACCCAAAGAAUAAGCACCGGCUAACUUCGUG
rnacentral:rRNA from 1 species